UGAGACCUCUUGAUGACCGCGAUCAUGAAGAUGAUUGAGGAACUUCCGGGCUCCACAGAGCACGAUGGCGGAUAACGUCCGCCCAGGGCGACCUGAGAGAUAGCGCAACAGAGAACAGACCGCCGGUCUUCGGACCGGUAAGGGUGAAACGGUGGCGUAAGAGACCACCGGACCGCUGGCAACAGUCGGUCGCAUGGCAAGCCUCAUCGGGAGCAAGGCCAAGCAGAAGGCGUUUGAGGGCUGCUCGCCCAAUGCCUUCGGGUAGGCUGCUAGAGCCUGACGGCAACGUCAGGUCGAGAUGGAUGGUCAUCCGUGCCUUACGGCAUGACAGAACCCGGGGUAUAAGAGGUCUCAAUCC
rfam:Bifidobacterium dentium Bd1, complete genome.